UACGAAGGGGGCUAGCGUUGUUCGGAAUCACUGGGCGUAAAGCGCAUGCAGGCGGAUUGUUAAGUCGGGGGUGAAAUCCCGAGGCUCAACCUCGGAACUGCCUUCGAUACUGGCAAUCUUGAGUCCGGGAGAGGUGAGUGGAACUGCGAGUGUAGAGGUGAAAUUCGUAGAUAUUCGCAAGAACACCAGUGGCGAAGGCGGCUCACUGGCCCGGUACUGACGCUGAGGUGCGAAAGCGUGGGUAGCAAACGGG
rnacentral:rRNA from 1 species